rnacentral:rRNA from 1 species
CCUACGGGGGGCAGCAGUGGGGAAUAUUGGACAAUGGGCGAAAGCCUGAUCCAGCCAUGCCGCGUGUGUGAAGAAGGCCUUCGGGUUGUAAAGCACUUUCAGUGGGGAAGAAAGCCUUGGGGCUAAUACCCUCGAGGAAGGACAUCACCCACAGAAGAAGCACCGGCUAACUCCGUGCCAGCAGCCGCGGUAAUACGGAGGGUGCGAGCGUUAAUCGGAAUUACUGGGCGUAAAGCGCGCGUAGGCGGUCUGAUAAGCCGGUUGUGAAAGCCCCGGGCUCAACCUGGGAACGGCAUCCGGGGGGGAGGGGAUAAGCGUAGGGAGGGGGAGGUGGAGAGGAGUGUGGAGCGGGGAAAGGCGUGGAGCACCGAGGGAUAGGGGAGCGCGAAGGGGAACAUCAGAAAUGACAAUCACGCUGAGUUAUAAAAGCGUGGGCAGGAGACAGGAUUAGCGAACCCAGGAGAG